AUUCAUCUGAUGAGUCCCAAAUAGGACGAAAUGAACAUUCUGGAU
rfam:Trichobilharzia regenti genome assembly, scaffold: TRE_scaffold0035537